rnacentral:rRNA from 1 species
UGAGGGAUGACGGCCUUCGGGUUGUAAACCUCUUUCAGCAGGGAAGAAGCGAAAGUGACGGUACCUGCAGAAGAAGCGCCGGCUAACUACGUGCCAGCAGCCGCGGUAAUACGUAGGGCGCGAGCGUUGUCCGGAAUUAUUGGGCGUAAAGAGCUCGUAGGCGGCUUGUCACGUCGGUUGUGAAAGCCCGGGGCUUAACCCCGGGUCUGCAGUCGAUACGGGCAGGCUAGAGUUCGGUAGGGGAGAUCGGAAUUCCUGGUGUAGCGGUGAAAUGCGCAGAUAUCAGGAGGAACACCGGUGGCGAAGGCGGAUCUCUGGGCCGAUACUGACGCUGAGGAGCGAAAGCGUGGGGAGCGGACAGGAUUAGAUACCCUGGUAGUCCACGCCGUAAACGG